AUCGACUAGCAUGCAGAGUCAAGGUGUCUUCGGACGCCGGCAUACGGCUCAGUAACACGUAGGUAACCUACCCUCAGGACUGAGAUAACCCCGGGAAACUGGGGCUAAUAUUAGAUAGAUAAAAGAUACUGGAAUGUUCUUUUAUCCAAAGCUUUUGCGCCUGAGGAUGGGCCUGCGUCCGAUUAGGUUGUUGGUGGGGUAAUGGCCCACCAAGCCUGCGAUCGGUACGGGCAGUGGGAGCUGAAGCCCGGAGUUGGGGACUGAGACAAGGCCCCAGGCCCUACGGGGCGCAGCAGGCGCGAAACCUCUGCAAUGCGGGAAACCGUGACAGGGGGAUCCCAAGUGCUCAUGCAUUGCAUGGGCUGUUCUUUGGUCUAAGUAACCAGAGGAGU
rnacentral:rRNA from 1 species